rnacentral:rRNA from 1 species
GUGCACGCUGGCGGUAGGCCUAACACAUGCACGUCGAACGGCAGCACAGUAAGAGCUUGCUCUUACGGGUGGCGAGUGGCGGACGGGUGAGGAAUACAUCGGAAUCUACUUUUUCGUGGGGGAUAACGUAGGGAAACUUACGCUAAUACCGCAUACGACCUACGGGUGAAAGCAGGGGAUCUUCGGACCUUGCGCGGUUGAAUGAGCCGAUGUCGGAUUAGCUAGUUGGCGGGGUAAAGGCCCACCAAGGCGACGAUCCGUAGCUGGUCUGAGAGGAUGAUCAGCCACACUGGAACUGAGACACGGUCCAGACUCCUACGGGAGGCAGCAGUGGGGAAUAUUGGACAAUGGGCGCAAGCCUGAUCCAGCCAUACCGCGUGGGUGAAGAAGGCCUUCGGGUUGUAAAGCCCUUUUGUUGGGAAAGAAAAGCAGCAGGUUAAUACCCCGCUGUUCUGACGGUACCCAAAGAAUAAGCACCGGCUAACUUCGUG